rnacentral:rRNA from 1 species
AACGAACGUUAGCGGCGCGCUUAACACAUGCAAGUCGAACGAGAAAGCAUCUUCGGAUGUGAGUAGAGUGGCGCACGGGUGAGUAACACGUGGAUAACCUACCCCUUGGCGGGGGACAACAUCUGGAAACGGAUGCUAAUACCGCAUAAGUCAGUCCUAUAAACGGAUUGGGAAAGGUGGCUUCGGCUAUCACCAGGGGAUGGGUCCGCGUCCCAUCAGUUAGUUGGUAGGGUAAUGGCCUACCAGGGCGACGACGGGUAGCUGGUCUGAGAGGAUGAUCAGUCACACUGGAACUGAGACACGGUCCAGACUCCUACGGGAGGCAGCAGUGGGGAAUAUUGCGCAAUGGGCGAAAGCCUGACGCAGCGACGCCGCGUGAGUGAUGAAGGCCUUCGGGUCGUAAAGCUCUGUGGGAGAGGGACGAACACCCUGAGGGAAUAAUACCCUUCAGGUCUGACGGUACCUCUCCAGAAAGCACCGC